rnacentral:lncRNA from 1 species
UGACAUGUCGUUGUGUCAUGACAUGUCGUCGUGUUGUGACAUGUCGUUGUGUCGUGACAUGUCGUUGUGUCAUGACAUGUCGUGUCGUGACAUGUCGUUGUGUCGUGACAUGUCGUUGUGUUGUGACAUGUCGUUGUGUCAUGACAUGUUGUCGUGUCGUGACAUGUCGUUGUGUCGUGACAUGACAUCAUGUCACCACAUCGCGUCACUGUGUUACGACGUGUCAUGUCACAACAUUGUCAUUGUGUC